UCCGGAGUAGCUCAGUUGGUAGAGCGAGUGACUGUUAAUCACCAGGUCGGGAGUUCGAGUCUCUCCUCCGGAG
rnacentral:tRNA from 4 species